rnacentral:ncRNA from 18 species
AAGUAUCUCCGAGUCCCGCCACGGAUGGGGGCGAUAGGAGUAACGGCUGGUUGGCACAGCCAUCGACGUUCCUGUUUGACAAGGAAACUGGCGUGUUCGCGCCUCAAGAACAGGUCACGUCGUAAACCACAAUAUCCCAACGCGGUCGGGAAUCUUCGCCCUUCAGGGCGGAGA